rnacentral:tRNA from 1 species
UCUAAUGUGGCAGAUAAAGUGCAAUAGUUUUAAGAACUAUAAAUAAUUUCAAUUCUUUAGAA